rnacentral:rRNA from 1 species
GACGAACGCUGGCGGCGGGCUUAACACAUGCAAGUCGAACGGAAAGGCCCUGCUUGUGUGGGGUGCUCGAGUGGCGAACGGGUGAGGAACACGUGAGUAACCGGCCCUUGACUUUGGGAUAACUUCAGGAAACUGGGGCUAAGACCGGAUAGGAGAUCCUGCUGCAUGGUGGGGGGUGGAAAGUUGCGGCGGUUGGGGAUGGACGCGCGGCUUAUCAGCUUGUUGGUGGGGUAGUGGCUUACCAAGGCUUUGACGGGUAGCCGGCCUGAGAGGGUGACCGGCCACCUUGGGACUGCGAUACGGCCCAGACUCCUACGGGAGGCAGCGGUGGGGAAUCUUGCCCAAUGGUCCCACGCCUGAUGCAGCAACGCCGCGUGCGGGAUGACGGCCUUCGGGUUGUAAACCGCUUUCGCCUGUGACGAAGCGUGAGUGACGGUACUGGGUAAAGAAGCACCGGCUAACUACGUG